GUGUGUGUGUGUGUGUGUGUCUGUGUGUGUAUAGCCCUCCCAUACCUCUGUCAUGCUGAGUUGGCCCCCAUCAUCACCCCUGGGCUGCAGCUGGUGGAUGUGUGGGAGACGGCUGCUCACCUCCGCUGGAAUGCUGACGCGGCGGAAAUGACCAGCGACAUGCAGCUCUCCCUGCAGUACCAGGAGCCUGACUCAGCAUGGCUGCCACACCCCCCCACACACACACCCUUAGAGGCGCAGGCCGGGGUCACACACACCCCCACACACACACCCUUAGAGGCGGAGGCCGGGGUCACGGUGCUCGGCCUGUCUCCUGGUCACUCCUACCGCUUCGCCCUGAGAGCCACACACUCCACUGGGGCUUGGCAAACACUCGGCCCGGUCCUCACCGUCCACACCAGGCCUAACCCUCCAAGGAACCUAACAGUGAGGAAAAUUUCGUCCAAUCGUAUCUCAGUAAGCUGGACUCCCCCUGACUCCUCCCAGAAUGCUCGAUUCCACCGGUAUGCAGUGCACUGGACGGAGGCGGAGUCUUGGGAGGGGAGGGGCCUAUGGGUUGAUGGGGCAGAAACCAGUGCUGUGAUUGGUGGUCUCCUUGCCUAUCACGAGUACAGGCUGAGUGUGUUGUCAGUCACAGAGCACGGGCUGGAGAGCAGUGAGGUUCCUCCCGUUACCGUGGUGACAGGUUUGUCUCUGUUCAUCCCUAUUGUAGUCAUGGUAAUAACAAGUAGUAACAAGG
ensembl:lncRNA